AGAAAAUUCUGGAAACUGCCCAACUUCGAGUGAUUUUCUCUUUCCAUGCGUCCACCAUUUGUACCAGUUUUGGAUGCUGUGGAGAAAGUCUGACAAUCAUAUCCAAGCUACUGCCUUAUGUUCAGAAAGUUAGAUGCAGACUUUUAGCCUCAUAAGAAGCCAUUCUGUUUUGAAACGUUAACACUUCUUAUUGAAGUAAAAAAAUGUAACCAUAAGAGGUUGUUAACAGGUUAAAACUGUUCAACUCGUACUGACCCUUUCCUUUGUGUCCUUGACAGACUACAAGGAUUCCACCUACAAGAAAGUGUGCCAGCUGGUUGUGAAGGUGGUUGAUGAAGUCCCAGCUGGUGGACACCCUGGCCCUGCAGAUCAGCAAGUCACGGCAAGGAGCCCCUGCUGCCCAAAGUGGGCCUGGGCUGCCUCAUCGUCCUCCUGCAGAACCAAAAUGAGGGCAUUGUUGGCCCAAAAACCUCUGGCCAGAUGUGUGCUGUGACUUCUUUGGUCUCCACCCUCCAGGCCACGGCAUCAGGCCCUUACUCUGCUGCCUGGUUCACCCUGUUGUCUCCUCCAGCACUGAUCCUCAGGGACUCGACACCCCCCUCCGGCUGAGCCUGAAGCACCCACUCCCCUCCCUGAGGCACAUGACUGUGGAACAGCUAUUGGGAAUUGUCACCUCGGGACAGGAGGGCUUUGACCGGGCCUUCCUAUAGGAGGCCCUGUUGGAGCGCAUGAAGGAGGACGGCCCCGAGGUGGUGGCUGCAACUUUGAAGGCUCUGGAGGUGAGUGGCUGGAACAUUAGACUUUCAGGUACGUUCAUAUUGGAAUCUACUAGGAUUAAACCUAACUC
rnacentral:lncRNA from 1 species